AGUGAACGCUGGCGGUAGGCCUAACACAUGCAAGUCGAACGGCAGCACAGUAAGAGCUUGCUCUUACGGGUGGCGAGUGGCGGACGGGUGAGGAAUACAUCGGAAUCUACUUUUUCGUGGGGGAUAACGUAGGGAAACUUACGCUAAUACCGCAUACGACCUACGGGUGAAAGCAGGGGAUCUUCGGACCUUGCGCGAUUGAAUGAGCCGAUGUCGGAUUAGCUAGUUGGCGGGGUAAAGGCCCACCAAGGCGACGAUCCGUAGCUGGUCUGAGAGGAUGAUCAGCCACACUGGAACUGAGACACGAUCCAGACUCCUACGGGAGGCAGCAGUGGGGAAUAUUGGACAAUGGGCGCAAGCCUGAUCCAGCCAUACCGCGUGGGUGAAGAAGGCCUUCGGGUUGUAAAGCCCUUUUGUUGGGAAAGAAAAGCAGCAGGUUAAUACCCCGCUGUUCUGACGGUACCCAAAGAAUAAGCACCGGCUAACUUCGUG
rnacentral:rRNA from 1 species